GACGAAGGGGGCUAGCGUUGUUCGGAAUUACUGGGCGUAAAGCGCGUGUAGGCGGUUGUCCAAGUUGGAUGUGAAAGCCUUGAGCUCAACUCAAAAAAUGCAUUCAGGACUGGAUGACUAGAGGACCGGAGAGGAUAGUGGAAUUCCCAGUGUAGUGGUGAAAAACGUAGAGAUUGGGAAGAACACCAGUGGCGAAGGCGGCUAUCUGGACGGUUUCUGACGCUAAGACGCGAAAGCGUGGGGAGCAAACAGG
rnacentral:rRNA from 1 species